rnacentral:rRNA from 1 species
AGAAUCAACGCUGGCGGCGUGCCUAACACAUGCAAGUCGCACGAGAAAGGGUAGCAAUACCUGAGUAAAGUGGCGCACGGGUGAGUAACACGUGAAUUAUCUACCUCCGAGUGGGGAAUAACUGAGAGAAAUCUUAGCUAAUACCGCAUAACACUUACGAGUCAAAGGAGCAAUUCGCUUAAGGAGGGGGUCGCGGCAGAUUAGUUAGUUGGCGGGGUAAUGGCCCACCAAGACGGUGAUCUGUA